ACAAUGAUACUUCCGUCCGCAAGGGCGGCCCGGCGAGAACCGCGGGGAGGCUGGAACCCUAUGG
rnacentral:ncRNA from 1 species